AACUAACGCUGGCGGCGUGCCUAACACAUGCAAGUCGUACGAGAAAGUUGGCUUCGGCCGAUGAGUAAAGUGGCGCACGGGUGAGUAAUGCGUGGAUAAUCUGCCCUUUAGUUGGGAAUAACGUACCGAAAGGUGCGCUAAUUUUUACCGAUAAUACUGCAUAACUACUGUUGUGUAGUCAAAGAAGGCCUCUGUUUACAAGCUUUUGCUGAAGGAUGAGUCCGCGUACCAUUAGCUGGUUGGUGGGGUAAUGGCCUACCAAGGCUACGAUGGUUAGCUGGUCUGAGAGGAUGAUCAGCCACACUGGAACUGAGACACGGUCCAGACUCCUACGGGAGGCAGCAGUGAGGAAUAUUGCGCAAUGGGGGCAACCCUGACGCAGCAACGCCGCGUGAGUGAGGAAGGUUUUCGGACUGUAAAGCUCUGUCGAGCGGGAAGAAGUGUACCAUGGCUAAUAUCCAUGAUAUUUGACGGUACG
rnacentral:rRNA from 1 species